rnacentral:rRNA from 1 species
AUGGCGACAGCAACCACAAGUCGACUCAGCAGGCCGGUGCUCUCCAUACCCAGCCACCGCUCCGCCUCGCCCACCCGCGUCAAGCUCGCCGGCGGCAACGCCAACGGCGCCACCCGCUCGCCGGGCAAGUCCGUCAGCGUCUCCUCCCCGUCAUCCACCAGGAGCCGACGGUGCUGCAUGUGCUCCUCGACGAACCACCCGGGCUCGUUCCGUGGCAGCCUCCACAAGGAGCGCAAGCAGGAGGCGGCCCCCGCCGGGAGCAGCAAGCCCGCCUCCCCGCCGUCCGUCCACAGCGCCUGCAGUCUGGGAUCGAAGCGCAUGGACAGCGGGCAGUGUGCCCGCAGAGCGCUCGCGCCGUCCCCCGCGGCGCAGCACCGGAGGCGCGCGGGCGGGUUCCGCCCCAAGCCGAGCAGGCUCUCCGCCGUUUCCGUGGCCGGCGAGCGUCCCGGCGACAACUACCAGGAAACAAAUCAACGUCGACAUGCCAUAUUAAGAUACAGUUAG